rnacentral:rRNA from 1 species
GGUGGGGACGACUGUUGGGACCGCCGUCUGCUAAAGAGGAGGAAGGAAUGGGCAACGGUAGGUCAGCAUGCCCCGAAUUAUCUGGGCUACACGCGGGCUACAAUGGGUGGGACAAUGGGUAUCGACACCGAAAGGUGAAGGCAAUCUCCUAAACCCAUCCGUAGUUCGGAUUGUGGGCUGCAACUCGCCCACAUGAAGCUGGAAUCUGUAGUAAUCGUGUCUCAAAAUGGCACGGUGAAUAUGUCCCUGCUCCUU